UCGCCCGUGGUGUAAUCGGCAGCACGCGAGAUUUUGGUUCUCGCUGUCCAGGUUCGAGUCCUGGCGGGCGAGC
rnacentral:tRNA from 1 species